AGUCAGCAUGCGAUGGGUUAAGAGAGGGUGGCGAAAGCCAUCAAGCCGAAAGGCCCGGAUCCUCUCUCCAUGGGCUGGCCAGCGG
rnacentral:ncRNA from 1 species